rnacentral:rRNA from 1 species
GACAGUUCGGUCCCUAUCCGUCGCAGGCGUAGGAAAUUUGAGAAGACCUGUCCUUAGUACGAGAGGACCGGGAUGGACGUACCUCUGGUGUACCAGUUGUUCUGCCAAGGGCAUGGCUGGGUAGCUAUGUACGGAAUGGAUAAGCGCUGAAAGCAUCUAAGCGCGAAGCCAACUUCAAGAUAAGAUUUCCCACCGCAAGGGUAAGACCCCAGAAAGACUAUCUGGUUGAUAGGUCGAAGGUGUAAGUGCAGCAAUGUAUUUAGCUUAUCGAUACUAAUAGGUCGAGGACUUGACCA